CACUGCCGAGAAAAGCCUCUAGAUAGAAAAUAGGUGCCCGUACCGCAAACCGACACAGGUAGUCAAGAUGAGAAUUCUAAGGUGAGCGAGCGAACUCUCGUUAAGGAACUCGGCAAAAUGACCCCGUAACUUCGGGAGAAGGGGUGCUCUUUAGGGUUAACGCCCAGAAGAGCCGCAGUGAAUAGGCCCAAGCGACUGUUUAUCAAAAACACAGGUCUCUGCUAAACCGU
rnacentral:rRNA from 1 species